rnacentral:rRNA from 1 species
GACGAACGCUGGCGGCGUGCUUAACACAUGCAAGUCGAACGGUAAGGCCCUUCGGGGUACACGAGUGGCGAACGGGUGAGUAACACGUGGGUGAUCUGCCCUGCACUUCGGGAUAAGCCUGGGAAACUGGGUCUAAUACCGGGUAGGACUCCGGACUGCAUGGUCUGGGGUGGAAAGCUUUUGCGGGGUGGGAUGGGCCCGCGGCCUAUCAGCUUGUUGGUGGGGUGAUGGCCCACCAAGGCGACGACGGGUAGCCGGCCUGAGAGGGUGACCGGCCACACUGGGACUGAGAUACGGCCCAGACUCCUACGGGAGGCAGCAGUGGGGAAUAUUGCACAAUGGGCGCAAGCCUGAUGCAGCGACGCCGCGUGAGGGACGACGGCCUUCGGGUUGUAAACCUCUUUCAGCAUCGACGAAGCGAAAGUGACGGUAGGUGCAGAAGAAGGACCGGCCAACUACGUGCCAGCCGCCGCAGUAA